AGUGAACGCUGGCGGUAGGCCUAACACAUGCAAGUCGAACGGCAGCACAGGAGAGCUUGCUCUCUGGGUGGCGAGCGGCGGACGGGUGAGGAAUACAUCGGAAUCUACUUUUUCGUGGGGGAUAACGUAGGGAAACUUACGCUAAUACCGCAUACGACCUACGGGUGAAAGCAGGGGACCUUCGGGCCUUGCGCGAUUGAAUGAGCCGAUGUCGGAUUAGCUAGUUGGCGGGGUAGAGGCCCACCAAGGCGACGAUCCGUAGCUGGGCUGAGAGGAUGAUCAGCCACACUGGAACUGAGACACGGUCCAGACUCCUACGGGAGGCAGCAGUGGGGAAUAUUGGACAAUGGGCGCAAGCCUGAUCCAGCCAUACCGCGUGGGUGAAGAAGGCCUUCGGGUUGUAAAGUCCUUUUGUUGGGAAAGAAAUCCAGCUGGCUAAUACCCGGUUGGGAUGACGGUACCCAAAGAAUAAGCACCGGCUAACUUCGUGCCAGCAGCCGCGGUAA
rnacentral:rRNA from 1 species